rnacentral:rRNA from 1 species
UGGCUCAGGAUGAACGCUGGCGGCGUGCUUAACACAUGCAAGUCGAACGGUGAACACGGAGCUUGCUCUGUGGGAUCAGUGGCGAACGGGUGAGUAACACGUGAGCAACCUGCCCCUGACUCUGGGAUAAGCGCUGGAAACGGCGUCUAAUACUGGAUAUGUGACGUGACCGCAUGGUCUGCGUUUGGAAAGAUUUUUCGGUUGGGGAUGGGCUCGCGGCCUAUCAGCUUGUUGGUGAGGUAAUGGCUCACCAAGGCGUCGACGGGUAGCCGGCCUGAGAGGGUGACCGGCCACACUGGGACUGAGACACGGCCCAGACUCCUACGGGAGGCAGCAGUGGGGAAUAUUGCACAAUGGGCGCAAGCCUGAUGCAGCAACGCCGCGUGAGGGAUGACGGCCUUCGGGUUGUAAACCUCUUUUAGCAGGGAAGAAGCGAAAGUGACGGUACCUGCAGAAAAAGCGCCGGCUAACUACGUGCCAGCAGCCGCGGUAAUACGUAGGGCGCAAGCGUUAUCCGGAAUUAUUGGGCGUAAAGAGCUCGUAGGCGGUUUGUCGCGUCUGCUGUGAAAUCCGGAGGCUCAACCUCCGGCCUGCAGUGGGUACGGGCAGACUAGAGUGCGGUAGGGGAGAUUGGAAUUCCUGGUGUAGCGGUGGAAUGCGCAGAUAUCAGGAGGAACACCGAUGGCGAAGGCAGAUCU